rnacentral:rRNA from 1 species
ACUGUGAUUCCCUUAGUAACUGCGAGUGAAGCGGGAUAAGCCCAUCGUUUAAUCUUCCCGGACUGUGGACGGGACGACAUGUAACGGUAUGGAUAGGUUCUCUAUCAACUCUGGCUGGUCAAAGUCCUCCGGAUUGAGGUGCCAAAGAGGGUGACAGCCCCGUGUGUGACUGGACAGAGUUGAGUAUGUGGCCGAUUCCGAGAGUCGGGUUGUUUGGGACUGCAACCUAAAGCAGGUGGUAAACUCCACCCAAGGCUAAAUAUUGACACGAAACCGAUAGCGAAUAAGUACUGUGAAGGAAAGUUGAAAAGAACUCUGAAAAGAGAGUUAAAAGUACGUGAAACCGCUAACGGGGAAGCGGAAGGCAGUGUCGAGAUUGGGUGAGUGAGUUGUCUCAAGUGGAGCUUAAUUUAUUAGGUUUGCUUGGGGCGACUAGCUUUGCCUGAUGCGUCAGGACUAUUGGUGUGCGGUGGCUCAAUUGUCGGCAUGGCUUCCACGACACUCACGCACUUGUGUGUGGGCUCGUGGUUGCGGCAGGCAAUCCGCCUCGUGCGCUGAUAUGGAUGUGGUGAGGCGUUGGUGAUGUAGUGUCGGUUGGUGUUGUGUGGUGCUCCGCGUAGUCACAGUGUGGCUACGUGUGGAGAAGUCAUGUGAUAGUUCAACAACCAGUGCCAGUGCCUGACGUGAUACCUAACCUUC